CCAGCUUUUCUCUGAGUUACAUGUUGGGCAUUUGAGGUCAAAGAUCAGGCUGUACCUAAGACACAAAGAAGAUGGAACUCUGGUGUGGGAGGCCUUGGUGAAACCAGGAGACCUCAGACCUGAAGCUACUCUGGUCCCUGCAUUCCAUACAGAUGCCCCAGCUCAGCUGCACUUUGUGGACCAGCAUUGGGAGCAGUUAGUGGCUCGAGUGACUUCAGUGGACCGAGUCCUGGACAAGCUAUAUGGACAGGUGCUGAGCGGUGAGCAGUAUCAGGAGGUACGUGCUAAGCACACCAAUCCAGCCAAGAUGAGGAUGCCAUUCAGCUUCAGGAACUCCUGGGACAAGAACUGCAAAGAUAAACUCUAUCAAGCCCUGAAGGAGUCUGACCCUCACCUGAUUAUGGAUAUCUGGGAGGGGUGGGGCCAUGGAGGAGAACCAUGAGGGCUCCUCACCUCACUGUGAGUCCUGACUCUCCUGACUGCUUUUAGGAUCUCUGUUUCUUCACCUCUAAACAAAUUGGCCUCUGACCUGCCUUCUAUUAUCAAGCUAUGGAAUAUCGGUGAUACACUUGCUGGGCAUUACAUGUCCAUGCCCAGAAAUGCCCCAUGGGCACCCAGACUGCCUCCCUUGGCUUCUACAGGCCAGAGGUCCAGGUGGGAUGGCAGCAUCUCAGGAAUGUUCAUGUGCAGCUGGCAGGACACCUGCAAACCUUGUAGAAACCUCACCCACACUCCCCGUCCAGUGACCACCACAGCCAGGCUGAGAGCCCUCUCUGUGCCACUGAUAUGUGGGGAGAAUUAGGGAGAAAAUGCAGCUAGUACCUCUAAUAGAGACAGACCAUGGAAGUGGACAUUUUGGAAGUUUUAAUAGCUUGUAAAUAAGGACAAAAACAUAUAUUUUUUACUUGUCAACAUUGAGCUUGGUUUUUCUGUUAGUUCAAGUUGUGCUUUGUGGUUGUUGAAGUUUAGCUGGAUUCCUAGAGCCAGGAGAGGGUGAAGGAGGCUGCAGGGGGAAUGGUGUCUAGGCCUCACUUCAAUGACUUCUGCUGUGCACAGUCAUUCCAUGUCCUUGCAGCUGUUAGGCACCGCUGCCCAGUGCUCCCGGAGCACCCUGUGUCCCCCACCCCAUCAGAACACUCAGCACGUGGCAUUGUCCCGACAACUUUUCUCCUGGUCUCUCCACACUAGAUGGUAAGCAUCCUGAGGACAGGAACCAUGUCUAAGCAGGUUAUUGCCAGUGCCUAGGGCAGUUCCUGGAAGAUAGUGGGUGUUAAGUGAGGGUUUAUGAAUAGGUAAAUGAUAAAGGACAUUCCCCAAAUAUAUCCUUUAAUUCCCUUCCUGGCCACUAUACUGUU